CCGUUCAGGGGUAAACCUGAGAAACCCAAAAGAUCGAAUGGGGAGAUUCAUCGUCAGCGACUUAGGCUUCCGUGUUGAUUGCGAUGGCUGGGGAUCUCGGUUCCAGGUUACGCGUCUACUGCGGCAUGUCCGAAAUUGUCGACGUGCACUUCUCCCCUAGUAGGACGUCGCGACCCGUUGGGUGUCGGCCUACGGCCGGAUCGGUCGACUGUCGCGGAGCGUUCACGCGUGCACGCGACAGACCAUCUGUUGCCCGGCCGGCUGCCCGGCGGUAUAGAUCGUUAUAAAACGGUAUUGGGCCGCAUUAAGUGCGUUCUGGCUCGUCGGCAGGCUCGUCUCGCUCGGAUUUACGGACUUAGUGCCGUUGCCGGGCGCUUGGCGUCGCUGUUAGUCGACGGUGUCCUCGGACUGGCUCUUACAUUCGAACGGAUUUACCGGUCAGCGACGCUACUGCUUUGGGUACUUUCAGGACCCGUCUUGAAACACGGACCAAGGAGUCUAACAUGUGCGCGAGUCAUUGGGACAUAUUAAACCUAAAGGCGCAAUGAAAGUGAAGGUUGACUCUAGCGUUGACCGAGGGAGGAUGGCUCGUGUCACGAUGCGAGCUCGCACUCCCGGGGCGUCUCGUGCUCAUUGCGAGCAGAGGCGCACCCAGAGCGUACACGUUGGGACCCGAAAGAUGGUGAACUAUGCCUGGUCAGGACGAAGUCAGGGGAAACCCUGAUGGAGGUCCGUAGCGAUUCUGACGUGCAAAUCGAUCGUCGGAACUGGGUAUAGGGGCGAAAGACUAAUCGAACCAUC
rnacentral:rRNA from 2 species